GAUGAACGCUAGCUACAGGCUUAACACAUGCAAGUCGAGGGACCGGCGCACGGGUGAGUAACACGUAUCCAACCUGCCAUUUAAUCGGGGCUAGCCUUUCGAAAGAAAGAUUAAUACCCGAUAUCAAGGAUGGGGCUGCGUUCCAUUAGGUUGUUGGGGAGGUAACGGCUCACCAAGCCUUCGAUGGAUAGGGGUUCUGAGUGGAAGGUCCCCGACAUUGGAAAUGAGACACGGUCCAAACUCCUACGGGAGGCAGCAGUGAGGAAUAUUGGUCAAUGGGCGGUAGCCUGAACCAGCCAAGUAGCGUGAAGGAUGAAGGCUUAUGGGUCGUAAACUUCUUUUAUAUAAGAAUAUGUAUUAGAUGAAUAAGGAUCGGCUAACUCCGUGCCAGCAGCCGCGGUAAUC
rnacentral:rRNA from 1 species